UAUAAACGUACGUACGUGUCAUGCACACGUACGCACCGUGAAGCUGAGGGAGGCCGGUGUUACAUACGGCGCCUUAUACCCAAUUAUUGUUAAUUACUAGUACUAGCUUUUAUUUUUUUUCACACAGAAAGGAAAAAAGAAAAGGCAGAUAUAUAGCUGGAGUAAUUAGCUAGGGCAAUGGAAGACGGGUUCCUCUGCUUCGGCGCCGCCAUGAUGGUGUCGUACUGCGCCGCCUGGCUCGUCGACCUCGCGCUCAUCGGCUCCCAGGCGGCCGCCGACGAGGAGGCCGCGAGGUUCAUGGACGACGUCGCCGGCGAGCUCCGCCGCCGCGGCGGCGUCGGGGAGGACGAGGACGAGGGCGAGGUCGAGAUGGCCAUCGCCAAGCAGAUGGCCAUCCUCAACCAGGUCUUGGACUGAUCAUGUAAGCUCGGUGUAUACGACGCCUACACACAUGCUAAAAAGGACUACUACGUGAGAUUCGAAGACCAUCAAUCCUUUACUUUUCCACUCGAAGUUGUUCAGUUCAAUACAGAUUCAUCGUUUUUGAUUAUUAGUUCAGUUAAAUUGUUUAGCUUUGGAUUGCUCCAAAAAAAAAGACCAUCUCGUGUGUAAACUUAGUUUUUCAUUCAUUUCAUAUGAAUAUUACCCGGUUGGGUUCAUGAAGUUUUACUGUGACAAUGGUA